GGGCCAUUCUGCUUUGACAUGGGCAUGGCCCUCUGACAAGGUGACUCUAGAGAAUGAGCCUGUCUGCUCCUCCCCCACCCUCUAAUGGGCUCUCCUGGGACUGCAGUGCAGAGCCCCUCCCUCCAUGAGGAAGUCAGUGCUGUGAGGUGCAGCAGGACACCUGGGACCCAGUGACAGUGACUUGCCAUGCGCCCUCUGGGGACGAGGCCGAUCAAAGACGACCCCCAUCUCCAGUCUAAUUGGGCCAUAGGUAAUAAAGAAAGACACGGCGGAGUUUUCUGUGAGGGAUGGCUGCCGUACGCUCGCUCACCUCUGGACUCCUGGUUCCUCUCCUAUUCAGGUUCUUUGUGCUCUUGUGUCACCUAAGGGCCUUCAGGGAGCCACAGCAGAGCUCUACGCAUCUGGAAACCAAGGCUGUGAGGAUUGACGCGCCUGGUACCAGGAAAAGCUCCCAGGUGGGAGGUAGCUUAUCGUUUCUGUAUGACAGAGCACAACACAGGAUCCAUGCUGAUGAAGAGCUAGACCCAAACCAAAAGGAGUGUGAAUGGUCAUCUUUCUAAAUUGUACUUCAAACACACCAGGUGACCGUGGCUGAAAACUUUCACUGUGUCUGCAGUUUCCAGGAAAGCCCCCUUACUGCCCCCCCCCCGACCCCCUUACUUGAUCUUGCUCUAGGAUUCAUUCUUGACUGGAGAGAGUGCCAGUCACACUGUUGGUCUUUUAGCCUGUUGAGUGGUGAUUUCUAUUAUCUAUUUGCUUGUUUGGAGACAGGGUCUCACACUGUUAACUCUAGCUGGCCAGGAACUCAGAGCAAUCCUCCUGCAUCAGUUUCCCAGUGCUUGGAUUUCAUGCAUGAUUCAAAGCAUAGCUGUUUGUUUGUUUGUUUGUUUGUUUGUUUUCUCUAGUCAUCAGUGCCUCUUGCCAUGCAGAGGGGGCUAAGGAAGGCUCAGGAAGCUGACGGGGCCUGCCCCAGGCCUCAGUCCUACCUGAUGAAGGAGCUGAGCCUGGAGUGCAGCUCAAUUAGCCAUGGAGAUGAGGCUCUUUUCAUAGAGUCCAGCAUGACCUGGGACUGAAUUAGCCUCAAUAGGCAUGCCGCCAUGUCAGGAGAGGGAGGGAUUCCAGGGGGAAAGGUCCAAGAAGAGGCAGAUUCUUCCUUCCUCUCUCCAAAGACAGUAAAGGCAGUCUGCCUCUCUGU